AUACGGAGGGGGUUAGCGUUGUUCGGAAUUACUGGGCGUAAAGCGCACGUAGGCGGAUUGGAAAGUUGGGGGUGAGAUCCCAGGGCUCAACCCUGGAACUGCCUCCAAAACUAACAGUCUAGAGUUCGAGAGAGGUGAGUGGAAUUCCAAGUGUAGAGGUGAAAUUCGUAGAUAUUUGGAGGAACACCAGUGGCGAAGGCGGCUCACUGGCUCGAUACUGACGCUGAGGUGCGAAAGCGUGGGGAGCAAACAGGAUUAGAAACCCUAGUAGUCC
rnacentral:rRNA from 1 species